rnacentral:rRNA from 1 species
CGGAACGGGUGAGUAAUACAUCGGAACGUGUCCCGUAGUGGGGGAGUAGCCCGGCGAAAGCCGGAUUAAUACCGCAUAUGCUCUACGGAGGAAAGUGGGGGACCCGGCAAGGGCCUCACGCUAUGGGAGCGGCCGAUGUCCGAUUAGCUUGUUGGCGGGGUAAUGGCCCACCAAGGCGACGAUCGGUAGCUGGUCUGAGAGGACGAUCAGCCACACGGGGACUGAGACACGGCCCAG